rnacentral:rRNA from 1 species
UUAUUUUGGUUAGAGUAGUAGUAGUUAUGUGCUUGAAACUCAAAGAAUUUGGCGGUAUUUUAGUCUAUUUAGAGGAACCUGUAAUUUAAUCGAUAAUCCACGAUGGACCUUACUUAAUUUUGUUUAUUCAAUUUGUAUACCGCUGUUUUUGAAAAUUUUAUAAGAAUUCAAUAAUUUUCAUUAUUUAUUAUUAUAAUUUAAAUCAGGUCAAGGUGCAGUUUAUGAUUAAGUAAUUAUGGGUUACAAUAAAUUUAUUUAAACUAAUUAAUUUAUGAAAUAUAAUUUAUGAGGGUGGAUUUAAGAGUAAAUUUUUAAAGAUAGAAAAGUUGAUUGUAGCUCUAGAAUAUGCACACAUCGCCCGUCGCUCUUGUUAUUUAAUAUAAGAUAAGUCGUAACAUAGUAGAUGUAUCGGAAGAUGUAUCUAGAAAGACAGCUUAUAGCUUUAUAGUAAAGUAUUUCAUUUACGCUGAAAAGGAUAUUGUGCAAUUCAAUAUAAGUUGAUUUAUGAUUUAAUUAAUAAUUUUUGUUGUUAUUUAUUUUUUACAUUUGAAAAAUAAUUUUAUUAUAGUUUUUUUAAGUAUUUUAUACAGAAUAAAUAAUUUUAUUUAUAGUGAAUUAGUAUUGUGAAGUAAUUU